rnacentral:rRNA from 1 species
AACGUACGCUGGCGGCACGCUUAACACAUGCAAGUCGAACGAAGUAGCAAUACUUAGUGGCAGACGGGUGAGUAACAUGUGGGUAUCUGCCCUUUGGCCUGGAAUAACACGAGGAAACUUGUGCUAAUACUGGAUAAGUCUUUACGGAGAAAGCUUUAUGCACCAUUGGAUGAGCCCGCACUUGAUUAGUUUGUUGGUGGGGUAAUGGCCUACCAAGACUUUGAUCAAUAGCUGAUUUGAGAGGAUGAUCAGCCACAUUGGGACUGAGACACGGCCCAAACUCCUACGGGAGGCAGCAGUGGGGAAUCUUGCACAAUGGAGGAAACUCUGAUGCAGCGAUGCCGCGUGAGUGAAGAAGGCCCUUGGGUUGUAAAGCUCUUUCGUCGGGGAAGAAAAUGACUGUACCCUAAUAAGAAGGUCCGGCUAACUUCGUGCCAGCAGCCGCGGUAAUACGAAGGGACCUAGCGUAGUUCGGAAUUACUGGGCUUAAAGAGUUCGUAGGUGGUUGAAAAAGUUAGUGGUGAAAUCCCAGAGCUUAACUCUGGAACUGCCAUUAAAACUUUUCAGCUAGAGUAUGAUAGAGGAAAGCAGAAUUUCUAGUGUAGAGGUGAAAUUCGUAGAUAUUAGAAAGAAUACCAAUUGCGAAGGCAGCUUUCUGGAUCAUUACUGACACUGAGGAACGAAAGCAUGGGUAGCGAAGAGGAUUAGAUACCCUCGUAGUCCAUGCCGUAAACGAUGUGUGUUAGACGUUGGAAAUUUAUUUUCAGUGUCGCAGCGAAAGCGAUAAACACACCGCCUGGGGAGUACGACCGCGAGGUUAAAACUCAAAUGAAUUGACGGGGACCCGCACAAGUAGUGGAGCAUGUGGUUUAAUUCGAAGAUACGCGCAGAACCUUACCAACACUUGCCAUGUUCGUCGCGACUCUAAGAGAUUAGAGUUUUCGGUUCGGCCGGACGAAACACAGGUGCUGCAUGGCUGUCGUCAGCUCGUGUCGUGAGAUGUUGGGUUAAGUCCCGCAACGAGCGCAACCCUCACUUUUAGUUGCCAUCAUUAAGUUGGGCACUCUGAAAGAACUGCCAGUGAUAAGCUGGAGGAAGGUGGGGAUGACGUCAAGUCCUCAUGGCCCUUACGUGUUGGGCUACACACGUGCUACAAUGGUAUCUACAACAGGAAGCAAGACUGCGAGGUCAAGCAAAUCCUUAAAAGAUACCUCAGUUCGGAUUGCACUCUGCAACUCGAGUGCAUGAAGCUGGAAUUACUAGUAAUCGUGGAUCAGCGUGCCACGGUGAAUGCGUUCCCGGGUCUU